rnacentral:rRNA from 1 species
CCUACGGGGGGCUGCAGUGAGGAAUAUUGGUCAAUGGACGAGAGUCUGAACCAGCCAAGUAGCGUGAAGGAUGACUGCCCUAUGGGUUGUAAACUUCUUUUAUAAAGGAAUAAAACGACGCACGUGUGCCUUUUUGCAUGUACUUUAUGAAUAAGGAACGGCUAACUCCGUGCCAGCAGCCGCGGUAAUACGGAAGAUCCGAGCGUUGUCCGGAAUUAUUGGGUUUAAAGGGGGCGUAGAUGGGUUGUUAAGUCAGUUGUGAAAGUUUGCGGCUCAACCGUAAAAUUGCAAUUGAUACUGGCAGUCUAGAGUACAGUUGAGGUAGGCGGAAUUCGUGGUGUAGCGGUGAAAUGCUUAGAUAUCACGAAGAACCCCGAUUGCGAAGGCAGCUUACUAAGCUGUGACUGACAUUGAUGCUCGAAAGUGUGGGUAUCAAACAGGAUUAGAUACCCUUGUAGUC